UCGAAAUGAUAUCAGCUAUUUAUGUGUAUUAUACCUCAAAUGAUAACAAAAUGUGUAAUAGCAAAAUAUUAUUGACUGUUGUAUUUGCAAUUUUCAGAUUGUUCACUAUAAAUACAGAUCGAAGAACGCAAAAAAAUUAAUUUGUUUUAUUUUACUAGUUUUUUGAAGCUACAAUAGCGAAGGAGAUCUAAUAUAACGGUUUGAAAAUGUACUACUUUUUAGUGUUAUCUUUUUGCGCCAUCCUCUUUUCUGGAUCCUGUACAGAACUGAUCCCUGAAGUUGCUUCGGAGGAUAAUGAUGUCCAAAAUAGCGUCGUAUACUGUCCAGGUGGAUAUUAUUAUUGUCAAGCCGGAUCGACAUGCUGUCCUCUACCAAACGGAGCAUACUCAUGUUGCCCAUACCCCUCAGCUAUGUGUUGUGCAGAUAUGGUUCAUUGUUGCCCAUACGGCACUCGAUGUGAUGCUACCUCUCAAUACUGUCUCCAUGGUUACAGCCUGAUGCUAUCACAAUCUAAGACACCUGCAUUUCCUAUGAAAUAAACAUCUCAGUCUCGUUUAACUUGUUUUAUACUCAUAUGUAAAUAUGUAAUAUAGAAAUAAAGGACUUAUUUUAUACUA